GUAGGGAAUCUUCCACAAUGGGCGCAAGCCUGAUGGAGCAACACCGCGUGAGUGAAGAAGGGUUUCGGCUCGUAAAGCUCUGUUGUUGGAGAAGAACGUGCGUGAGAGUAACUGUUCACGCAGUGACGGUAUCCAACCAGAAAGUCACGGCUAACUACGUGCCAGCAGCCGCGGUAAUACGUAGGUGGCAAGCGUUAUCCGGAUUUAUUGGGCGUAAAGCGAGCGCAGGCGGUUGCUUAGGUCUGAUGUGAAAGCCUUCGGCUUAACCGAAGAAGUGCAUCGGAAACCGGGCGACUUGAGUGCAGAAGAGGACAGUGGAACUCCAUGUGUAGCGGUGGAAUGCGUAGAUAUAUGGAAGAACACCAGUGGCGAAGGCGGCUGUCUGGUCUGCAACUGACGCUGAGGCUCGAAAGCAUGGGUAGCGAACAGG
rnacentral:rRNA from 2 species